rnacentral:tRNA from 2 species
GGGUCGUUAGCUCAGUUGGUAGAGCAGCUGACUCUUAAUCAGCGGGCCACAGGUUCGAGUCCUGUACGACCCACCA